rnacentral:tRNA from 1 species
GGUAGUGUAGUGGUUAAAACAAUCGGCUGCUAACUGAAAGGUUGGUGGUUUGAAACCACCAGCCA